rnacentral:rRNA from 1 species
GAAUAGUAGUAAACUGGCGAACGGGUGAGUAACACGUAGGUAACCUACCCUAGAGAUCGGGAUAACUUCGGGAAACCGGAGCUAAUACCGAAUGAUGCAGCGGGCCCUUUGGGGCACAGUUGUUAAAGCGGGCUUCGGCUCGUACUUUAGGAUGGGCCUGCGGCCGAUUAGCUUGUUGGUGGGGUAAUGGCCUACCAAGGCGAUGAUCGGUAGCUGGUCUGAGAGGAUGAUCAGUCACACUGGGAUUGAGAUACGGCUCAGACCUCUACGGGGGGCAGCAGUAGGGAAUUUUGCGCAAUGGGCGAAAGCCUGACGCAGCAACGCCGCGUGAUCGAUGAAGCUUCUAGGAGCGUAAAGAUCUGUCGUGAGGGAAGAAAAAUUCGGAGGUAAAUAAUUUUCGUUUUUGACGGUACCUCACAAGAAAGCACCGGCUAACUUCGUGCCAGCAGCCGCGGUAAUACGAGGGGUGCUAGCGUUGUCCGGAAUCAUUGGGCGUAAAGGGUCCGUAGGCGGUUUAACAAGUCAAUUGUUAAAGACAUCGGCUUAACCGAUGAAGUGCAGUUGAAACUGUUAGAAUAGAGUUUAGGAGAGGAAAGUGGAAUUUCUGGUGUAGCGGUGACAUGCGUAGAUAUCAGAAGGAACACCAAUGG